rnacentral:tRNA from 1 species
GCCAGCGUUUCCGAGCGGUAUUGGCUUCUUUGUUAACCGUAAAGGAGGUGGCCUGCAGAGCCAUUUAUCAUGGGUUCAAUUUGAAUGUUACUCGCCUCGAGCAUUGAUGGAAUUCCCAUCGCUGGCU